ACGGGGCCCGCACAAGCGGCGGAGCAUGCGGAUUAAUUCGACGUUACACGAAGAACCUUACCAGGGUUUGACAUGCAAGUGGUAGGAAGCCGAAAGGUGACCGACCCUUCGGGGAGCUUGCACAGGUGCUGCAUGGCUGUCGUCAGCUCGUGUCGUGAGAUGUUCGGUUAAGUCCGCUAACGAGCGCAACCCUCGCUGUGUGUUAUAUGUGUCACACGGGACUGCCGGUCUUAAGCCGGAGGAAGGUGGGGAUGAUGUCAAGUCAGCAUGGCCUUUAUAUCCUGGGCUACACACACGCUACAAUGGCCAACACAAUAGGUUGCUAAGCCGCGAGGUGGCGCCAAUCCAUAAAGUUGGUCUCAGUUCAGAUUGUAGGCUGCAACCCGCCUGCAUGAAGAUGGAGUUGCUAGUAACCGCAGGUCAGCUAUACUGCGGUGAAUACGUUCCCGGGGCUU
rnacentral:rRNA from 1 species